UGUAAUCAUGGCAAAAUUUAUAGAAAGCUCAAAUUUGCUACCAAAAUUGCAUAUUUUGAGGCUGUUUCGUCUUUUUAAUUCUGUUAUCCCAUUACCCCGAUUAAGGAUAGUGUGGUAGCAAUAGCCCUAAAUAUUUCCCAUUCUCCAAAACCUAUAUUCGAUGUACUUUGGCAAAAUCGCUUCAAUUUUUGGACGUUGCCACAAGGAUCUCCAGAGAACAUUUUCUCUGAUCUUCAGAAAAGUUCAUCGCGGGCCAAAGGUAUGGUGGUGCUGGAAGAGUUCAGCACUGUUAUCAGCAACACAGGAACCGUGGAUCGCCACAUAUUCGAGAAGCUUCUGGCAACACAGUCUCGUAGUUCCUUUUUUUAAAUUUUGUAUGAAGGGAUCACGGGUUCACCGAGCAGUGUUUGGUGGAGGCGCAGCCUGAUUCAGUGAGCCCUCAAAUGGUGAAGUACACUACAACACUCAGCCUAGAGUCCAUUGUCGACAUUGAAGGUGUAGUUUCCAUACUAGCCGAACCUAUCAGAGGUACUUCAUAGCAGAUUAAUUUGGUUUGGUCUACUCACGCAUGAUCAGGGUUUUUGAUUUUCUAGCUUUUAAACUUGACGGAAGCUCUAUGAUUAUGCCAUUGUGUGGUUGGAUUGUGUUUUUUUUUUUUUUGGUAGGUGGAAGUUCAAGUGAAAAAAAAUUGUAUUGUAUCAAUAGGGCUGUCCCAAAUCUUGUAUUUAGUCUUGAGGAUGCUGCUAGGAGUGAAAUGGAAAUUGAAAAGGCUUUGCAAGUGCCUUGGAACAACUUGUUCGUGUUAAUCAGGAUACACGAUUAAACAAUAGGGUACUAGAUCUGCACACACCAGCUAAUUAUAACAUUUUCUGCAUACAAUCUGAAAUUGCAAAGUCUCAUCAGUUUUCUCUUGGGACAUUAGUCAAUGAGAACAUGGAAAGCACUUUUCAAAAUCACGGGGAUUCUCUUGACAGGACCACCGGGAACUGGAAAAACUCUGCUAGCCAAGGACUGUGGUUUAGCAAUGUUCAUAUCAGAAAAGUAAAAAAAAAUUGUGGGCUGCUGAGUUGGAUAUCUAUUGUGACACUGAAAAAUCCAGGGUUCCCAAACUCAAAGCUCCUCCUCCAGUGCCACUCUACAAAUUACUGUUGUGCCUCAUCAAACUGCACCUUCUGAUCCUUCUCAAAAUGACCAUGAUGUCUAAAAUCCUCCAAGGCCAAUUUAGUAGAUGCAAGAUACUGCUGCUCCUUAACUAGAGAGACGUCAACCAUGUUAUGGUCUCAGGUGCCAAAAGAGAUACGUGGCUUAGAAGUUGUGAUGCCCCAAACUGAGAUUCCAGAAUGGUUUAACUUUAGAGGCAAUGAAGGGAGUCCUCGUUUCUGGGCUCAUGGGAAGUCCAAGUUCCCCAUUGUUGCUUUAGCGUUGGUCUUUCAGGAUGUGAAUGAAAUGGCAAACCAAUCUCGCAGGAAACUUGUUCAGCUCCACUUGGUUAUCAAUUUUUAACACUUGUCAUGGGACAUUUAUGCCAUAUGCGCUAACCUUGUUAAAAAGUUAGGAUUAGAAUUUCUUUUCAGUAUUUUAACAUGCUUGUAAAAUACUUGCAUCUGCUGGGAUGCAUCCCUCAAGAUUUUAGCCUCAGAUCAUGACAAGCUUCUGAAAAAAGUUAUCAAAGAAUAUUCUAUGAUCGUUAAGGAUCUUAUCAAAUAUUUGUCUUUGUCCAUCUUUAUAGUUACAAG